GAUGAAGAACGCAGCGAAAUGCGAUAAGUAGUGUGAAUUGCAGAAUUCAGUGAAUCAUCGAAUCUUUGAACGCACAUUGCGCCCUUUGGUAUUCCGAGGGGCAUGCCUGUUCGAGCGUCAUUAUAACCCCUCAAGCUCAGCUUGGUGUUGGGGCCUGCUGCACUGGCAGCCCUUAAAAUCAGUGGCGGCGCCAUCUGGCUCUAAGCGUAGUAAUUCUUCUCGCUAUGGAGUCCUGGUGGAUGCUUGCCAUCAACCCCCAAUUUUUCUAUGGUUGACCUCGGAUCAGGUAGGGAUACCCGCUGAACUUAAGCAUAUCAAUAAGCGGAGGA
rnacentral:misc_RNA from 1 species